rnacentral:rRNA from 1 species
AUUGAACGCUGGCGGAAUGCUUUACACAUGCAAGUCGAACGGCAGCACGGACUUCGGUCUGGUGGCGAGUGGCGAACGGGUGAGUAAUGUAUCGGAACGUGCCCAGUCGUGGGGGAUAACGUAGUGAAAAUUACGCUAAUACCGCAUACGAUCUAUGGAUGAAAGCGGGGGAUCGCAAGACCUCGCGCGAUUGGAGCGGCCGAUAUCAGAUUAGGUAGUUGGUGGGGUAAAGGCCAACCAAGCAAAAGAUCUGUAGCUGGUCUGAGAGGACGACCAGCCACACUGGAACUGAGACACGGUCCAGACUCCUACGGGAGGCAGCAGUGGGGAAUUUUGGACAAUGGGCGAAAGACUGAUCCAGCCAUUCCGCGUGCAGGAUGAAUGCACUCGGGUUGUAAACUGCUUUUGUACAGAACGAAAAGGUUUCUACUAAUACUAGGAGCUCAUGACGGUACCGUAAGAAUAAGCACCGGCUAACUACGUGCCAGCCGCCGCGGUAA